rnacentral:hammerhead_ribozyme from 1 species
AUCCAGUUGACGGUCUCAAAUAGGAGGAAACGUGCGUCCUGUAU